rnacentral:rRNA from 1 species
GGACAACGCUGGCGGCGUGCUAACUACAUGCCCCUCGAACGAGUUUGCUUUUAACUUGAAGGCGGUGCUUGCACCAACUGAUUUAAAAAUAAACGAGUGGCGGACGGGUGAGUAACACGUGGGUAACCUACCCUAAAGUGGGGGAUAACAUUUGGAAACAGAUGCUAAUACCGCAUAACAUUAAAAACCACAUGGUUUUUAAUUGAAAGACGGCGUAAGCUGUCACUUUUGGAUGGACCCGCGGCGUAUUAGCUAGUUGGUGAGGUAACGGCUCACCAAGGCGAUGAUACGUAGCCGACCUGGGAGGGUGAUCGGCCACAUUGGGACUGAGACACGGCCAAACUCCUACGGGAGGCAGCAGUAGGGAAUCUUCCACAAUGGACGAAAGUCUGAUGGAGCAACGCCGCGUGAGUGAAGAAGGUUUUCGGAUCGUAAAACUCUGUUAUUGGAGAAGAACGUAUUUGGUAGUAACUGGCCAGAUAGUGACGGUAUCCAAUCAGAAAGCCACGGCUAACUACGUGCCAGCAGCCGCGGUAAUACGUAGGUGGCAAGCGUUGUCCGGAUUUAUUGGGCGUCAAAGCGAGUGCAGGCGGUUAACAAGUCUGAUGUGAAAGCC